GGUUGACUGGUGCUUUACAUGGUCUUCAAGUACCUAAUCUGGAUUCUACCUAUGCAAACAUGCGAGCUGUUAAAGAGAAGAGGGCAGAACUUGAAAAACUAAAAACUACAUUUGUUAGGAGAGCUUCUNGAGUUCUUGAGAAACUACUUUGCCAGUUUGGUGGAUUUCAUGAUAAGUGACAAGAGUUACUUUUCACAGCGGGGACAGUUGAAGAGGCCUGAUCAUGCAGACUUACGGUACAAAUGCAGAACAUAUGCUCGC
rnacentral:misc_RNA from 1 species